rnacentral:rRNA from 1 species
UUGCCAGACUCCUACGGGAGGCAGCAGUGGGGGAUAUUGCACAAUGGGGGAAACCCUGAUGCAGCGACGCCGCGUGAGUGAAGAAGUAUUUCGGUAUGUAAAGCUCUAUCAGCAGGAAAGAAAGUGACGGUACCUGACUAAGAAGCCCCGGCUAACUACGUGCCAGCAGCCGCGGUAAUACGUAGGGGGCAAGCGUUAUCCGGAUUUACUGGGUGUAAAGGGAGCGUAGACGGCGGUGCAAGCCAGAUGUGAAAGCCCGGGGCUCAACCCCGGGACUGCAUUUGGAACUGUGCUGCUAGAGUGUCGGAGAGGCAGGCGGAAUUCCUAGUGUAGCGGUGAAAUGCGUAGAUAUUAGGAGGAACACCAGUGGCGAAGGCGGCCUGCUGGACGAUGACUGACGUUGAGGCUCGAAAGCGUGGGGAGCAAACAGGAUUAGAUACCCGAGUAGA